GUGCGAUUGGCAGCAGGGCAGAGGUUUACCUCUGCCUGCAUUUGACACCGACGCAAGGGGAGCUGUGGCGGUGGUCGCAUGAUGGAUUCGGGUGCAGAACGCAAGCUGGGCUGGGAUGUGAUGGGCCAGUGGAAGGACAAGAAGAUGGGAGGCUCUUCCUUGUCUGCC